rnacentral:rRNA from 1 species
CCGUGAGGCUUAACCAUACAACACCCAAGGGGUUUUGAUGGACUCAAUGAAAGAACAUUGAAUGUGUAAGAACGAGAAUUAAGAAACAGCUUUCCAGAUUAAAGAAUUUGCUUGGCGACCAUAGCGUUUUGGACCCACCUGAUUUCCAUGCCGAACUCAGAAGUGAAACGAAAUAGCGCCGAUGGUAGUGUGGGGCUUCCCCAUGUGAGAGUAGGACAUCGCCAGGC